ACUUUUAAAAUGCAGUUUUGAACAGGUUGCUGCAAAUUGUCGUCUUUAUCACGACUCAUUGGCAUGAAAACCAUCUUAAAUACUUCAUCAUCAAGGUUGCUAUCAAGACUCCGGUAGCUUCUGCCCAAGCUGUGAUAUUUCUGGUCUCCCUAAGAGCACUAGUGUAAGUGUACGAACAGUGCACAGAUUCGUUAAAAGCCCAUUUUCGGUGUUUGUUAGGAGAGUAGCAUGUAUGGGCAAUAUGGCCAUUUGCAUUAAAUAAGGGGUUAUUAGGAUCAAGUCAUGAACCCUUAUCUAAAGAAAAAUAUAAAGCUAUUUGAUUUGUAUUUUUACCCCUGCUACACAUUUUUAAAAAUCCAGAAUAUCUAAAACCUUUUGUUCUCUUCAAUUUCUAAAUUCAAAGUCUUCUUAAUGCUGCUUUAAGGGUCUCCACAUUUGUUUAUAAUGCUCUGAUGAUUGAUGUUGAAUUAGCUGCAGAUCAGAUGUUUUGGCUUCCUUCCCUGUGCAUACCAGUUAUAUCCUUUUUCACAAUGUUUCUCUUGG